rnacentral:tRNA from 1 species
GGAAGCGUGGCCGAGUGGUUUAAGGCACCGGUCUUGAAAACCGGCGUAGGGAAACCUACCGUGAGUUCGAAUCUCACCGCUUCCGCCA